UGCUUGUAAAUAUGUCUCGUCUGGUA
rnacentral:piRNA from 1 species